CUGUGAUUUGCCCACAGCAACCUCUUCCCCACACCCAGGAGACUGGCUCUCUUUGUUUAAUGUCAGCUCUGAUUUGGUACAGCUGGGUGGCCUUAGCUCAGUCUACUGUGAAAACUGCUGAUCUGUGGGAGAGAGCAGCAAGAAGCUUUAUCUGGGGCUUCCCAACACUGGCUCAGGUUCUUGCCUUUGGUCCUUGCCAGAGCUGUGUUCUAGGGAUGCCAUGCCCAGCCUGGUGUCCUGCUUUUAUCGUGGAAGGACUUCUUGGCUGAACUUGGGCUUGCCUCAUCACUACAAGUUUGCCUGGUGAUCACUCAGCUGUGGAUGACCCUGGUUCCUGUCCCUGGACCUGCUCUGCUCUUCUUGCCCAGGUAUGCGUGGAGGGGACUGAUGGCUGGAAAGGGAUUGUUAGGCUCUUCUGAAGCUAGGAAGAAGCCCGUAAACUUGGAACUAAUGAGCCCUUAUGCAAUUAAAAGACCACUAUGGAU